UAACACGUAAACAACCUGCCUUCAAGAUGGGGACAACAGACGGAAACGACUGCUAAUACCGAAUACGAUCCGAAAGUCGCAUGACAUUUGGAUGAAAGGGAGGCCUAUCGAAGAAGCUAUCGCUUGAAGAGGGGUUUGCGUCCGAUUAGGUAGUUGGUGAGGUAACGGCCCACCAAGCCGACGAUCGGUAGCCGGUCUGAGAGGAUGAACGGCCACACUGGAACUGAGACACGGUCCAGACUCCUACGGGAGGCAGCAGCU
rnacentral:rRNA from 1 species